UACUAGUCUAACAAAGAGCACAAGGCAUGGGACACCCUGGACAGGGUUCUAGCCCACCAGAGGGCACAAGGUGGGGGACACCCUGAACCAGGUGCCAAUCUGUCAGAGGGCACAAGGUGGGGGACACCCUGAACCAGGUGCCAAUCUGUCAGAGGGCACAAGGUGGGGGACACCCUGAACCGGGUGCCAAUCUGUCAGAGGGCACAAGGUGGGGGACACCCUGAACCGGGUGCCAAUCUGUCAGAGGGCACAAGGUGGGGGACACCCUGAACCAGGUGCCAAUCUGUCAGAGGGCACAAGGUGGGGGACACCCUGAACCGGGUGCCAAUCUGUCAGAGGGCACAAGGUGGGGGACACCCUGAACCGGGUGCCAAUCUGUCAGAGGGCACAAGGUGGGGGACACCCUGGACCAGGUGCCAAUCUGUCAGAGGGCACAAGGUGGGGGACACCCUGGACCAGGUGCCAAUCUGUCAGAGGGCACAAGGUAGGGGACACCCUGAACCAGGUGCCAAUCUGUCAGAGGGCACAAGGUGGGGGACACCCUGGACCAGGUGCCAAUCUGUCAGAGGGCACAAGGUAGGGGACACCCUGAACCAGAUGCCAAUCUGUCAGAGGGCACAAGG